GGGCACAUGGUGUAGUUGGUUAUCACAUCCGCUUAGCACUGCUUCCGAGCAUGUGAAGAUGCGGGGGGUGCUGGGUUCAAUUCCCAGUGUGUCCA